GAUGAACGCUGGCGGCGUGCCUAAUACAUGCAAGUCGAGCGAACGGACGAGAAGCUUGCUUCUCUGAUGUUAGCGGCGGACGGGUGAGUAACACGUGGAUAACCUACCUAUAAGACUGGGAUAACUUCGGGAAACCGGAGCUAAUACCGGAUAAUAUUUUGAACCGCAUGGUUCAAAAGUGAAAGACGGUCUUGCUGUCACUUAUAGAUGGAUCCGCGCUGCAUUAGCUAGUUGGUAAGGUAACGGCUUACCAAGGCAACGAUGCAUAGCCGACCUGAGAGGGUGAUCGGCCACAAGGGAACUGAGACACGGUCCAGACUCCUACGGGAGGCAGCAGUAGGGAAUCUUCCGCAAUGGGCGAAAGCCUGACGGAGCAACGCCGCGUGAGUGAUGAAGGUCUUCGGAUCGUAAAACUCUGUUAUUAGGGAAGAACAUAUGUGUAAGUAACUGUGCACAUCUUGACGGUACCUAAUCAGAAAGCCACGGCUAACUACGUG
rnacentral:rRNA from 1 species